rnacentral:rRNA from 1 species
UAAUUUGAGAGUUUGAUCUUGGCUCAGGAUGAACGCUGGCGGCGUGCUUAACACAUGCAAGUCGAGCGUAGUUUAACUAGGUGCUUGCACCUAGUUAAACUAAGCGGCGGA